GAGGGUGUAGCUCAGUGAUAAAACAUGUGCUUAGCAUGCAUGAGGUCCUGGGUUCAAUCCCCAGUACCUUCA
rnacentral:tRNA from 1 species